UAGUUGAGACCACUGACCCUUCAACUGGGUCUGCAUGGGUGCCUGAGAGGUGGCCUUUUGAUAUCAGAGGGUCAAAAACUCCACCCUCAAGAUCAUGCUAAUGUUGCCAUUUUCUGUACAUAUGUCCUGUGAACUGUUCGUCCACCUCAUCUCUUGGUGACCUAGUGUGUAAAUCUUUUCUCUUUUGCAGAAUCUAUGUCACAGUGAUUGAUUUACUGCAUAUGAGCAGAAUGAACCUGGACCUGGCCAGUAUCAUUAAGCUGUGUUUCCCCUGAAGUUAUGUGAAAAGCAUUUGUGGAUUUAACAGAGUUAAGGGUCUCACUUCAUCACCUAGACUGGAGUACAGUAGCACAGUUGCAGCUUCCUACAUCUUGACUUCCUGGGUUCCAGUGAUCCUCCCCCUUCAGCCUCUCAGCAGAGAGAGAAAGAAAGCAGAGCUCUUUGAAGCAGAGAAAGAAAGCAGAAAGCAGAGAUCUUUGAAGGCUUAAGAA
rnacentral:lncRNA from 10 species